CAACUACUAAACCUGUCAAGUGUCAUAUACUAGCCCUUUUACUGUUUCCUUUACCUUUUACUGUUUGUCCUUUUCACUGCAGAGUUGUUUUCACAGCUGUAAUACAUGGUCAAGCAUUGGAACUCUACAACUUUUCCCAUGCUUUUUGAUAUUGGAACUGACAUCUCCAACAACACAAGUGAUGAGUCAAAAAAUGGCUAUUUCAAAAAGUUGGAGAAUGCUAAAGAGAGGUUGCUUCUUUUCAAGGCAUACAAGAUACAUGUUAUUGGCGGUGCCUCCAAUUAAAAGUUAUAAAAAAACAUUAUCAUGAAAGAUCCUCAGAAACAAAUUAACAAAUCGUUGUAAUUAUUGUUACAAAUUUAUAACGUUUAUUUUUUAUCGAGUAAUGUUUAUCGUUGUAAUUUUGUUAAC